GUAGUCGUGGCCGAGUGGUUAAGGCGACAGACUUGAAAUCUGUUGGGAUAUUCCCGCGCAGGUUCAAAUCCUACCGACUACG
rnacentral:tRNA from 1 species